rnacentral:rRNA from 1 species
CUUAUUCCUUUACAAAGCUAUACAAUUGCCAUUAAAGGAAAAACAAAGCUCUCUCAAGCUCUCUAGGCUUAUACAAUUGCCAUUAAAGGAAAACAAAGCUCGUCUCAAGCUUCUCUCACAAAGUUGCUCCACAAAGUUGCUCCCGCAAACUCACUCACUCACUCACAAAUUCUCUAUCUACAAAUGAAAGGGAACACGUCCCAUUUAUACAAGCUUUUGGCUGUCCCAAUUGUUCCCAACAUGUGGCAGAAUUUGUCCACUCAAAGGGACCAAAAUAUGCAUGGGAAAUGAAGUGUCAUCAUCAAGGACAUGGGGCAGCACAACCUUGUGCCACCUAGCACCCAUUUGCCGCUUGGAAUUGAAAUGGUGGAGGGGGUGGAGGGAACAUGGCGCAAGCCAGCUGGGCCCCUUGGCAGGCUCAGUGGCGGGACAUUUUCCCUCCAAUCCCCCAAUGCAUGGAUGAAGAUACCAUGCACGUAAAUUGCCUUCAAGCCACUCUCACGUGCUGGUUCUCUUAGUGGCGCCUCCAUGCGCCGACUAAUUUCCUCACCACACGGUUUUGCAAUGUCUAAUACGUGAAUCCAUCUUCAGCUGCAUGUGGUGGCAUUUCCAUUAGAUAAUGCGCCGCAUUAAUUUAAUCUUUCAUGCCCAUCUGGCCGCUCACUUUUGGUGUACUGCACAUGGCACCAUUUCUAGCAAUUUAAUUCCCACAUCACAUGCUUACGUAAGUGGUUUGUCCAACUAAUAUUCCAAAGCGCCAACAUGUUCCACUAAUGCCUUCACAUGCAAAUUUGAGAAAAUGAACACGUUGAAACUCAACUUGACCAAUUUAGUGCGCCCCAUUUUCUGGUCACAUGCACUGGACAAGUCCUAACGUCCAUUUCUAGGACCAAUGCAUGGCAAUUCUUCACAGUGAACUCAUGCCAUGCACACCCAAUUUCAACGUGAACCAAAUCCCAUGCACAUCUCACCGUAGCUUUCCUUAGCAAUUUCAUGCGCAGCCAAUUUAGGCCUUCAAGGGCAGCAACAGCAAAUUAUUUGGACUCCUCGGGGCAAAAAAAUCGGGGGAGACAACGGCGAGCCCGGCGGGCGGAGCGGCCGCCGGUGCACGAUCUUGGUGGUCAGUAGCAAUAAUUAAAAUGAGAACUUGAAGGCCGAAGAGGGAAAGGUUCGCAUGUGAACGGCCAACUGUGCACAUGGUUUAGUCGAUCCUAUAGACGGGGGAAGCCCGUCCGACGCGCGUCGCGCGCUGAGCCUUCGAAAGGAAUCGGGUUAAAAUUUCCCGAAACCGGGACCGCGGCGGCUUGACGGCAACGUAGGUGGAGUCCGGAGACGUCGGCGGGGCUCGAAGAGUUUAUCUUUCUGUUUUACGGCCCGCCCACGCCUGGAAACGACUCAGUCGGAGGUAGGGUCCAGCGGCCGGAAGAGCACCGCACGUCGCGCGGUGUCCGGUGCGCCCCCGCGGCCGUGAAAAUCCGGAGGACCGAGUUGCCUCCGCGCGCCCGGUCGUACUCAUACCGCAUCAGGUCUCCAAGGUGAACCAGCCUCUGGCCAUGGAAAAUGUAGGCAGGGAAGUCGGCAAAAAACGGAUCGUAACCUCGGAGAAAAGGAUUGGCUCUGAGGGCUGGGCCGGGGUCCCAGUCCCGAACCCGUUCGGCUGUCGGCGAACUGCUUCGAGCUGCUCCCCCGGCGAGAGCGGGUCGCCGCGGUGCCGGCCUGGGGGACGGACUGGGAACGGCCCCUCCGGGGGCCUUCCCGGGCGUGCCGAACAGUCGACUCAGAACUGGUAGCGGACAAGGGGAAUCGACUGUUUAAUUAAAACAAAGCAUUGCGAUGGUCUGCGGAUGCUCACGCAAUGUGGCUUCCUGGCCCAGUGCUCUGAAUGUCAACAGUGAAGAAAUUCACCAAGCGCGGGUAAUACGGCGGGAGUAACUAUGACUCUUUUAAGGUAGGCCAAAUCGCCUCGUAUCUUAUUAGUCGACGCGGCGAUCGAAUGGAUUAAACGAGAUCCCACUGUCGUCCUACUUACCAGCGAAACCAGACAGCCAAGGGAAACGGGCCUUUGGCGGAAUCGCGGGGAACAGAAGACCGCUGUUGAGCUUGACUCUAGUCCCGACUUUGCUGAAAUGACUGAGAGGUGUAGGAUAACUGGGAGCCGAACGGCGACUGGUGAAUACACUACUUUUAACGUUAUUUUACCUUAUUCGUGAAUCGGAGGCGGGGCCUCGCCCCUUCUUUUUUUUUUGACCCAAGGCGCCACGCUGCGGCCGAUCGGGCGGAAGACAUUGUCAGGUGGCGAGUUUGGCGGGGCGGCACAUCCUGUUAAAGAAUAACGCAGGUGUCCUAAGAUGAGCUCAACGAGAAACAGAAAUCUCGUGUGGAACAAAAGGGUAAAAGCUCGUUUGAUCUGAUUUCCAGUACGAAUACGAACCGUGAAAGCGUGGCCUAUCGAUUUUACGACCUUCGGAAUUUGAAGCUAGAGGUGUCAGAAAAGUUACCGACAGGAUAAUGGCUUGUGCAGCCCAAGCGUUCAUAAGCGACGUCUGCUCUUUUGAAUCCUUUCCGAUGUCGGCUCUUCCUUAUCAUACUGUGAAGCAGAAUUCAACCAGUGUUUGGAUUGUUCACCCACCAUAGGGACGUGAAGCUGGGUUUAGACCCGCUCGUGAGACGGUUAGUUUUACCCCAGCUGAUGACCCGUCGCGAUGGUAAUUCAACCUAGUACGAGGAGGAACCGUUGAUUCGCACAAUUGGUCAUCGCGCUUGUUAAAAGAAAGCCAGGUGGGCGCGAAGCUCACCGUGCGCUGGAUUCAUGACUGAACGCCUCUAAGUCAGAAUCCGGGCCCGAAGCGAGCCCGUUCCGGCGCCCAGCUGCCGACACGCCAGUAGGGGCCACUCCGGCCCCCAGAGGCACGUGCCGUUGGCCAGCCCCCGCGGCGGACGAGCCGCGCGGGCCGCCUUGAAGUACUAUUCCCACCGGGCGUGCGGGCAGAAUCCUUUGCAGACACUUAAAUACGCGACGGGGUAUUUGUAAGUGCAGAGGGCCUUGCUGCCACGAUCCACUGAGAAAUUCAAGCCCUUGUCGCUCCGAUUCGUCCCUCCCCCCCUC